UUGGAACUGGAUGAUCUUUAAGGUUGCUUCCAACCAAAACCAUUCUAUGAUCCUAUAAAUUUAUUUUUCAACUUAUACCUUAAUUUGUACUUCUUUAAGUCACAGUUUAGAAUACUUCCCACUAGAAUCUUGUUUUUGCUGUUUUGUAGCAUUUGUAACAUAAACAUUACGAUUGGUCUGAAGAGUGUAUGAACAGAAAUGUCUGUCAGUAAAGCACCAGGAAAGACAACAGAACAAAGUUGCGGGGGAAAAAAAAACAACACACCACCAAACCCAAACCAUUUUGAUAACCGUGGACGCAAUUGACAGCAAUCAAAUGGUUACACACCAAGGAAUGUGGUGUUUGCAGCAGGACCAGGAAGCCUGUGCCCUAGGAAACCCUCAGUUGCAUUAGCAGGCCUGUGCCCUGACACACAGAAGAUAGCAGCAAGGUUGCACCAUGCUAUACGUGCUGUUCCUCCCUCUUCCUGUUCUGCAAACAGGGAAGCUGACUCUAGCCAUAAAGACACCCACAGCAGGCAAACCCAUGAAACAGACAGCAAACUAAGAUUCACCUAGGCUGAGACCUCUAUUUGUAGGAGGAAUGAGAUACUGCAGACAACAGGCUUUAGCAGCAAUGGCUCUACUUUGAAGGACCUGACUUGCCUUCAACUAUGUGCCCUCUCAGGCAAUCAACACACCCUAUGAAGAACACACACCUUAAUCACACUUGAACUUAUUUUACUUCUUCCUCUUUUCUCAAAAAGUAUUUUACAUCUCACAAAAAUUCUAAUGGUCCUACCGAAAGUUCACACUUCUGAUUUUGCCUGUCUAGAGAAGAGUGCUUAUGCACAAAUAAACCUUGAAGGAUGGAAAAAUGACGAGAAAGAAAGCAUCAAGCCAGACAAGUAUGACUGGAAACUCAGAUGUAAAGAAUUCAAAUAUUUCAGAAGAUGUCUUGAUAGAUCAGAAAUGUACAUUGUGAAAUGUGGUGGUGAAGAUGGUUUUAGGCCCAUUUGUACUUUCAGAGCAUCCCCCAAAACCUGGGGGAUUCCUACUCUUCUAGGGGAGCAUGCAAAUGGUCUACUAACUCGCUAUUCGCAUGAACAGCUGUACGACAAAGGCCCUAUGCUGUAGAUUCACUUGAAUAAUGACAGGUAAGGUUAUCUUCUUGCUUUUGAGGUUUUGUUUUACUUAUUUUCCAGCCUCUUCACUUCAGCAGUUAAACAUUAAUUUCUAAGCAAAAGCAAAGUCUUAAUAUCAUUACAGCUCUUAUUUCUCAAUUUGUUCUCAAAUAGUUUCUGUCACUGUACAAGAAAGAAGACUUUAAUUGGAAAAGGAUUAAAAUAAUAAUAAAAAGUGGUCCAUUUUACUGGCACAUUGAAGAGCAAUGCCAACACCAUAGUAACUUUAUUCUUCCAGGGAAAGUGUUGCCUUUCCCUCUCUGUUUCAAAAAGCAUGUAUAAAUAAUAAGCCCAAUUUUCAGUCUCAACUUACCCUUUUCCUUGCUUGUAAUUUUGCAUAUGCUCGCAUAAUUACGGACUGAAAUUUGCAAAUACAAUUACUUGCUGACACACAUUGUUAUUUGAAUGAUAAAGCAUUUGAUUGUAUCCAAUGAAAACAAGAUGUGAAAGCAAAUGUGUUUUAGCAAACCUAAUGUACUAACUUAAGCUUCUGUUGUUUUAUGGAAAUACGAUCCCCUAACAGUAUGUCGACACCCUGUAGUGAAGUAUUGUCUAGAGACCUUACAUUAAAAGCAAGAUAGCUGUCUUGCUGCAUUAUCACAUUUACACUUGCCUGGGAAGAAAUACAGCUACAUAGGAACAAUUACUUUUUACUUUUUAAACAGGAAAGUUUGCUUUCAUAAAAAUAAUCAAAUUAACAAUGGCAUAUUAGUGGAGUCACAAAAUAAGUAACAAAAAGAUGCUGCUAAAUUAAACUAAUUCAGAAUUCAUAUUGCAUUUUGAUGGCAGUUCAUGACAUGUAGUAAAACCACCUGUUUUCUCUGCCAAAGAGAGAAAAAGAGUUAAAUCAGAACUCAUGAAAAGAAGAGCAGCUGUCAAAACUACAGUUUAGCAAAACCAAGAGGCCUUUGAGUUCACUUAGAUUUGCCAGUGACUUUUGAAGCUACUUUUAUUUUUGGUUACUUCAAAGUUAGCAAACCUUUUAUUAACAAAAUUCCAUAGGAAAUCCUUCAAACUGCACAUGGGGGGCUGUCUGUGGCAUGGUCCUCUCUCACUGCAGUCUUGUAGAGUUCUUGAUGGAUUUCCUAGGGCUCACCAUAAAUACAAACAACUGACCAGAAAAUCCAGAUGAGGUUCAACUGUAUUUCAAGAACAGCUAUGACCUAAUACUUUCUUGAUACAGAGACACAGACGUGAAGCUAGGGAGAUUAUACUAAGAACUCAUUUUGGUUAGUAUCUUUCAGAAGAGAAUGCAAAGUAUGGCUAAGCAGCUCACUGAUUACAUUUAAAGAUAUUACUCAAGAAAUCUAAGGAUAGGAAAGAAGUUACCGAUAUCCUUAAAGGCAUUAUCAAUAAGAUAAGGAAGACAAAAGAAAAGCUUUUUGUUACUAAUAUUUUUGUCUAUAUUUGAAUAUACUGUUGUCAAUGGAAAAAAAAUCCAGAGCCUGGAGUCAUUCAUUUUAAGUCUGGAAGCUGGCACCGAAUAAAAACACAGCCAAACACACCGAGAGAUAUUUAACAAAUGAAUAUUAUAUGGAAUCAAUCAACGUAACAAGAGUUACCACUUCAAACUAUUCAGAAAUGGUGGCAGUGUUCAUAUAAGGAGAGCUUAAAGAUUCCUACAUAUUUUUUUUUCUCUGAUUUUAUCUAGUUUCAAAGCUUUCAGAAAUCAUGCACUUUAUCUUUUCUUUGCAACUGAGAGAGCUGUAAGUUAACCUUUUUUACAGUAAGACCAAAAUUCUUAAGUAUUUCCAUAAUCCGUAGUCUUGGAAGGCAGGUUUUAAAGAAAAUGCAAAUCAGUGCAUGACUACAGAGAAAGACUGCAAGAGUUGUAACUCUAAGCCAGCAGUGACAAUGCACCAUAAAUUGGAUAUUAACUUCAGGAAGAAUCAAACAGCAAAAUUCCAGUGAAGUCUUGAAUAGUGUCAGCUUCAAAUUAUAAUCCAGGAUAUGUCUGCACCAUGUUGGCCAAACUACAGAUUAAAGCAUUGUACAAAUAUAAAGUCUGAGGACAGGUAGCCACUGAGAGCAGCUCAGUAUUUACUGCUGCAUUUGACAUAAGUGUUUAUUUAUGAGGGUCAAACUGACUUCUUUGUGUUUCAAAACCCCUAGGUGACCAUACUCUAUCAUCCAUAUAUAAAUGCUCCAGCAGUCCAGGAAGAAACCUAUGCUUUAUCAGACAUAUUUACAAGACACAUCCUACCAGCACGCUGUCCAUGGUCACCAGAGAAAAGUACAACACUUUUCUGCAUGGGCUGCCAAGCACUGCUUCCUAAAACCAACCUGAACUUGUGUUUGUAUUCCAGACUCUUGUUCCCAUUGGAGCUACACAGGAUCAAAAGCUGUUUAUUCCUUUGGCUUAGUACAUUCCACACCAACGAGGUUUCAGGAAAAUGUGCCAAAACCGCCGAUCAGGGCUUUCAUGUUGUUAGAGCCUAAGGAGGGAUGACACAGUGUGUUUACAGCUCAAACGGCUCUGAACUCUCCAGUUCUCUGGGCAGGAGAAAGACAGCAUGACUGCAGUCCCCUGAUUAUGCCUUGCAUUUUUUAAAUGUUCAAAUCUUUGCAGCCUUUCCAUAGUGUUCAGUGCACUUUGACCAUAAACUGCUCCAGAGUGCAGGCAAAAACAGUUGGGAAAAUAUUAAUCCUCUCCUUAUAUGGCGAGAAGAAAAAUGAGAAAAUACAGGCUGCAUUCAAUGUGAUAAAUGUCUAAGAAAUUCCUCUUUGAGUGGAUUCCCUGAGUCUACCUUCUACAUUCACAGAACACAAAUUAUUUGGCAUACGGAGAUAAGAAUUUGUGUCAGCUCAAGUUAAUUUUGUACCACAAUUAUGAGAAAAUGCUGUUUUGACCUUUAAAAAAAAUCUAGUAUCUGCAGACUUUCACCCACUCUUAAAAGUUAAUUUGAAGUGCUGUACACCAGUUCUUGCAAGUUAGACAAGCGGUUUUAUUUUGCAGACAAGGAAACAAGAUAAAAUUGUUAAGUCACUUCCCUAAGUCAUUAUUAGGUCUGGAGAAAAUUUCAGAAGACUCAAUCCUGUAUCCUGCAUUGUCCAUUAAUCAACAUUCCUGACACAAAAUGCUGUGCAUCAUGACUUUGGCACUACAGUCACCAGACCGAGUAGGAACAUCCUGGACUCUGACGACAGUUGCACUUACUGAUAACUGUAAGGACUGUGCUUUCAGAUGAGCAUACCCACAGGAAGAGUUGGUGGCAAACUACGCUUUCUAGUUCAGACUCCAACUCUCUAUGCAGGACAACUAACCAGUCAUCUGAAGGUGCUUUUUUUCUGUCCGGCCACUUCAGAGGAGAGAAAUCAGAAAGCAGAAAGCAAGGCUCCCAGUGAACAGAAAAAAUGUGGACAAAGUGCAAAAGGAUCACUGCUGUAGUGAGGGAGCAUAAGCAGCAUUUAGGAGCAGGUCUUUCUUUUUUCAUAGGGCUUCCCAUAUUGCAUACUCCCGUGGUCAGUUGGACUCACAUACAAAUCCUUUUUUUGCCAACUUCAUCAUCCUGUGCAAGCUGCCAGAAGAAGGGGAAUCUGGGGAAGCGCUGCUUAAAACUACUGGUUACAGGGACUGAUCAAUACUGGCUCUAAUGCUCCUUUUUGCAAUUUUUUUUUUUCAAGAUUAUUUUUCUGCCAGUAAGUUCCUGGAAAUAGUUCCCUAUAGUGGAAAACACCUGCAUUUGCACAGUUUAGGGCAGGAAAGACUGGCUGGAAGGCACCAGCUGAACUUGCCACCAUUGACUCCAAUAUGAAACCAGAGUCUUCAAUCCCCUU